rnacentral:rRNA from 1 species
GAUGAACGCUGGCGGCGUGCUUAACACAUGCAAGUCGAACGGAAAGGCCUCUGCUUGCAGGGGUACUCGAGUGGCGAACGGGUGAGUAACACGUGGGUGAUCUGCCCUGCACUUCGGGAUAAGCCUGGGAAACUGGGUCUAAUACCGGAUAGGACAAUGGUUUGGAUGCUGUUGCGGAAAGUUUUUCGGUGUGGGAUGAGCUCGCGGCCUAUCAGCUUGUUGGUGGGGUAAUGGCCUACCAAGGCGUCGACGGGUAGCCGGCCUGAGAGGGUGUACGGCCACAUUGGGACUGAGAUACGGCCCAGACUCCUACGGGAGGCAGCAGUGGGGAAUAUUGCACAAUGGGCGCAAGCCUGAUGCAGCGACGCCGCGUGGGGGAUGACGGCCUUCGGGUUGUAAACUCCUUUCGCUAGGGACGAAGCGUUUUUGUGACGGUACCUGGAGAAGAAGCACCGGCUAACUACGUG